UACAGAGGUCCCAAGCGUUGUUCGGAAUUACUGGGCGUAAAGGGCGCGUAGGCGGACAGUUUAGUCAGAGGUGAAAGCCCAGGGCUCAACCUUGGAAUUGCCUUUGAUACUGGCUGUCUUGAGUUCGGGAGAGGUGAGUGGAAUGCCGAGUGCAGAGGUGAAAUUCGUAGAUAUUCGGCGGAACACCAGUGGCGAAGGCGACUCACUGGCCCGAUACUGACGCUGAGGCGCGAAAGCGUGGGGAGCAAACAGG
rnacentral:rRNA from 1 species